rnacentral:lncRNA from 1 species
GGACCUGGGAAUAGAAGAGAAGAAAAGCAAAGAAGAAGUUUGGAGUCAGUUUAGGGUUAAAAAGAAAAAAAAGAUCUUUGGGUUAGUUUAGGGUUUAGUAUUAGCUUGGGGUUUUGAAAAAAAUUGUGGAUUUUGUUUGUUUAGGGUUUGAAGAAAAGAAAUUAAGGUAUUUUUGUACGUUUAGGGUUUAACAAAUUUAUUUGUUU